rnacentral:rRNA from 1 species
UUAUAUUUAUAUAUAAUUUAAAUUAUAAAAAAAUUAUAUUUUAAUUAUUUAAGUUUUAAUUUUAAAUAAAAUAAAAAUUGAUUUUAGUAAAUUUAUAAGAAAAAUUUAAAUUUAAAUAUAAUUAAAUUGAAAAAUAUUUUUAUUUAUUUUUUUUUAAAAAAAAAUAAUUUUUUGUACCUUUUGUAUUAGUGUUGUUUAAAAAUAUUUAUAAAUUAAUUAAUUUUUUCAAAAUAAAAAGAUUUAAAAUUUAAUUAUUAUUAUUAUUUUAUAAAUAUAUUUUAUUAAAUUUUAGAAAUAAAAUGUUUUUCGAUUUUUAUGAUAUUUAGUUUUUUUAGAAAAAAAUUUAAUUUUAUUUUAAUUAUUUAUUUUAUAUAUUUUUUAUUUAAUUUAAUUAUAAUUAAUUAUUAAUAAUUUGGGGAUUAGCUUAAAUUAUUAUUUUAAAAAUUUAUUUAUUUUUAUUAAAUUAAUUAAUUUUUUUAAUUAUUAAGUUUAAUAAUUUAUAAUUAAAUUAAUUUAUAGUAUUUAUAAUUAAGUUUUAUAUUUUAUAAAAAUUAUUAUUAAAAUUAAUUUAAUAAUCAAAUUAUGAAUAAAUUAGUAAAAUUUAAUAAAUAAAAAUUAAGAAUUAGGCAAUUAAUAUUAUUCAAUUGUUUAUCAAAAACAUAGUUUUUUAAUUUAAUAAAAGAUAUUAUCUGCCCAUUGAAUAAAAUUUUUAAAGGCCGCAAUAAUUUAAUUGUGCUAAGGUAGCAUAAUCAUUAGAUUUUUAAUUUGAAUCUGGAAUGAAUGGUAAAAUGAAAUAAUUACUUUUUUAUUUUUAAAAUUUGAAUUUUAUAUUUAAGUUAAAAAGCUUAAUUUUAUAAAUUAGACGAGAAGACCCUAUAGAAUUUAAUUAAUAAAUAAAAUUAAAUUUUAUUUAUUUAAUUUAAUUGGGGAGAUUUUAAAAUUUAAUAAACUUUUAUAAUUUAAAUCAUUAAUUUUUGUUUAAUUGAUCUUUUAUUAAUAAAAGAAAGAUUAAAUUACCUUAGGGAUAACAGCAUAAUUAUAAAAAAAAGUUCUUAUUUUUUUUAUUGUUUAUGACCUCGAUGUUGGAUUAAAUUAAUUUUAAUUGAAGAAAAUUAAAAAUUUAGUCUGUUCGACU